rnacentral:lncRNA from 1 species
UCUUCACACAAGACAAGACUGCUGCAUUAGAGAGAUUUCUUUCACAUCUUUGACCAGACUGUUGAAGAUCUGCCAUGGGACCAGGCGGACCAGGAGGACCCGGACCAGGAGGACCAGGAGGACCAGGCGGACCAGGAGGACCCGGACCUAGUCUUGGAUGGGGACCCGGACCUGGUCCUGGAUGGGGACCAGGACCUGGAGGGCCAGGGCUCUUGCCACCCAUUGGAGGUUUCUUUUCUGGAUUUUCAGACAUGAUAUGUUCCUGGUAAAGACAUUCCCUGGUUCUAUUGUUUUUUGUCAUGUAUUUCGAGUUAAGAUAUGUAUGUUGAGUCUUGC